CCUACGGGAGGCAGCAGUGAGGAAUAUUGGUCAAUGGACGCAAGUCUGAACCAGCCAUGCCGCGUGCAGGAAGACGGCUCUAUGAGUUGUAAACUGCUUUUGUACGAGGGUAAACGCAGAUACGCGUAUCUGUCUGAAAGUAUAGUACGAAUAAGGAUCGGCUAACUCCGUGCCAGCCGCCGCGGUAAUACGGAGGAUUCAAGCGUUAUCCGGAUUUAUUGGGUUUAAAGGGUGCGUAGGCGGUCGGAUAAGUUAGAGGUGAAAUCCCGAGGCUCAACUUCGGAAUUGCCUCUGAUACUGUUCGGCUAGAGAGUAGUUGCGGUAGGCGGAAUGUAUGGUGUAGCGGUGAAAUGCUUAGAGAUCAUACAGAACACAGAUUGCGAAGGCAGCUUACCAAGCUACUUCUGACGUUGAGGCACGAAAGCGUGGGGAGCAAACAGGAUUAGAUACCCCAGUAGUC
rnacentral:rRNA from 1 species